AUUGAGGGCUGUGUGAUAAGCAGUUAUCAGAGAAGACCGAGGCAAAAAGUUUGUUAAGUACCUCAGCCUUUUCUUUGUCUGCUGUUACUAGCCUGCCUGUGUCAUUCAGAAGCGGGGGUACGCCCUCCUGGACUUUCCUUUUCUGGCUGAGUGCUUGUGGAUUUUCUUCUUGCUCUUUGGUUUGACCAGCUGCUCCUGGUUCAGCCACAACGCUCUCUUGCCUUCCUUUCCUGACUUGCUACACCUGGGGAUGGAGAGCUCUGAGGAAAGCCUUGACUUGUGGAAACAAACUUAAAACUGGGGAAGGUUAUAAAGCAGAGCAUGAAUUCAACCAUGUCACGGUCACUCUAGCCCAGGCAGCCUCCAAUCCUGACAUCUCCAAUCAGUUCAUUUGCACUGGUGAGCAACAGGUCCAGUACUGCAUCCUGCCUCAUGGUGCCAUCUGUUACUUGACUCAGGAAGUUAUCCUCAGUGCAUUCCAGGAGCCUCCUUGAUUGCCUACAGCUCACCAUGCCAUUUUCCAAGAACUACUUGCUACUUUUUACAAGACCAUAUAUAACUGGCACAAGGGACAAAACCACUGUCCUUCAACUUUUGUGUCCUGGCAUUCUUGGAUAUCUUGUCUUUGAAAUCCUAAAUAGUAGAAGCACCACAAAGCCUGUUUGAAGGAAAUCGUGGGAGAGAAGUAAAAAGAAUCCCCUCACCCUUACCCUCCUCCCCCCCCCCCAAAAAAAAGGAAAGAAAGAAAAUGAGGAAAAGGCAGACGUUGAUCAGAAGAUACUUUAUGCUCACGUGUCUUUCCAAUACAGUGAGAAAGCCUUCUCUAAAUUGGAUUUUUGCCAAAUCUGACAGAGGUUUUGAAGUCUUAACACUUAAAAUAACUAGCAGUAUAAGCAGGUUUUAGCAUUCAUCACGAAGUUUCACCUGUUAUUUUUGUUAUUUACUCAGCCUGUCUGUAACAUAGGACACCAGUUAAUUUUGGAUAUGGGCAUAAUUCAGUGGGCUGAAGUGAAAUGUUGCUGUAUUUUUUGCUUACUCCACAGUGGAAUGCUAUAAUGCCAAGAGAGAGUUCUGAGUUUUUUGUGUUUUUCUUUUUUUUUUUUUAUCUUUUUGAUGAGUAGUAGCUCAUAAAAAUA